UUGGGUUGGCAAGCUCUGAAUCUAAGGAUGAGCUGCAUGAAGUUCAUAGAAGUAGUAAGACUUUACAGAGAUGGUUUUGCUUUCAGUGGUUUGGUUGGAAUGUUCUUAGGAUGCACACAGAGAGUAAGGGAGCUCUUGAGUUAAGAGGAAACUCGGAUGUCCUCCAUUGGGAUUCCAGAUUUGCUUUGCUAAAUAUUGUGCCCAAUAUUUAUCUCCCACUUUUAUUAGGUGAUCCAGACCUUUGUUGAUCCAAUAAGGACAGUAAGGACUAAUGUCUGAGAGGGCCACUGUCCUGCUUAGUGCAGCCAGGCACAUAGCACAGAAUGAUUCAACUGAGGAAAGCCAACAUUUCAUUAACUCAUCACAUGUAAAAGCGUGAGGAAUGGAGGGAGAAGUUUGAAGUAAAAUAAACCUUCACCAGAAGACACCAGAGGACCAUAGUGGAGGUUUCUUGUCCAAGUGUGUUUUCCUGAAAACAUAAGAGUCAUUUCAACCACUCAGUGAUUCUUCUCUCCCUCCUCAAGUUUCUGUGGUCACCUUCACCAGUGGAAAUCACAAACUCAUUACUACUACUUGCACUGGCAGGUAUUAUAACAAUACUAUAUCCAAUGACAAAAUCAAAGUGAGACAUUAGCGUGUUGCAGUAAAAUCAUUACAUACAUAACUGUUCAGAAUUAUAAUGAUUUUUGAAGGGAGGCAAAUGUAAGACUGCUUUAUUUUUUUUUAUUAAGUCCUAUUUCUGAAUAUUUUUCCAUUCAUUCUAUGUUAAUAGUGAAUUUAAAUUCCUGUGUAAAAAGCCUGGAUGCAACUGCACAGUUUAGGUUUGAUAAGGCCAGUGAACAUGCCUUAAAUAUUUUAAAAGACUGAACUUUAUUCUAAAAUAAACCAUGACAACUACAUACCACGCCAGCAUUGAGAAAGGGGUAUGUAAGUUCUUAAGUAAGAAAUAGAUUUUAAUAAAUAUUCACUACUUAUUUAUAUAUUUAUUUCCCCAGAAAAGGUCAUCUUA